rnacentral:rRNA from 1 species
AUUGAACGCUGGCGGCGUGCUUAACACAUGCAAGUCGAGCGGUAACAGGCGUAGCAAUACGUGCUGACGAGCGGCGAACGGGUGCGUAAUACAUGGGAAUCUGCCCUUUGGUGGGGAAUAACCCGGCGAAAGCCGGGCUAAUGCCGCAUGAGAUCUUCGGAUGAAAGCGGGGGAUCGUAAGACCUCGCGCCGAUGGAUGA